rnacentral:rRNA from 1 species
UACGUAUGGUGCGAACGUUGUUCGGAAUCACUGGGCAUAAAGAGCACGUAGGCGGUUAAGCAAGUCCAUUGUGAAAUCCCCCGGCCUAACCGGGGAACUGCAUUGGAUACUACUUGACUUGAGUGCAGGAGGGGAGAGUGGAAUUCCAGGUGGAGCGGUGAAAUGCGUAGAUAUCUGGAGGAACGCCGGCGGCGAAGGCGGCCCCCUGGUUGGAUACUGACGCUGAGACGCGAAAGCGUGGGGAGCAAACAGG